UACGGAGGGUGCAAGCGUUGUCCGGAUUUAUUGGGUUUAAAGGGUGCGUAGGUGGCCCCGCAAGUCCGUGGUGAAAGCCUGCUGCUUAACAGCAGAACUGCCAUGGAUACUACGGGGCUUGAGUCCAGACGAGGUUGGCGGAAUAGAAGGUGUAGCGGUGAAAUGCAUAGAUACCUUCUAGAACCCCGAUUGCGUAGGCAGCUGACUAGGCUGGUACUGACACUGAGGCACGAAAGCGUGGGGAGCAAACCGG
rnacentral:rRNA from 1 species